UGGCACUAUCAGGUGUAACAGCAACUCCAUGUGGACUGUGAAGCAAUUCCCAGUGGAGCUGCUGUUACUUCUGAUGGUCAC
rfam:Dipodomys ordii contig_22755, whole genome shotgun sequence.